rnacentral:rRNA from 1 species
UAAACGAUGAGUACUAGCUGUCGGACGGUGGCGCAGCUAACGCAUUAAGUACUCCGCCUGGGAAGUACGCUCGCAAGAGUGAAACUCAAAGGAAUUGACGGGGAUCCGCACAAGUAGCGGAGCAUGUGGUUUAAUUCGAAGCAACGCGAAGAACCUUACCUAAGCUUGACAUCCAGGUGGUGCAUGGUUGUCGUCAGCUCGUGUCGUGAGAUGUUGGGUUAAGUCCCGCAACGAGCGCAACCCUUGCCUUUAGUUGCCACUCUAGAGGGACUGCCAGGGAUAACCUGGAGGAAGGUGGGGAUGACGUCAAAUCAUCAUGCCCCUUAUGCUUAGGGCUACACACGUGCUACAAUGGGUGGUACAGAGGGCAGCCAAGUCGUGAGGCGGAGCUAAUCCCUUAAAGCCAUUCUCAGUUCGGAUUGUAGGCUGAAACUCGCCUACAUGAAGCUGGAGUUACUAGUAAUCGCAGAUCAGAUGCUGCGGUGAAUGCGUUCCCGGGUCUUGUACACACCGCCCGUCACACCACGGGAGUUGGGGGCGCCCGAAGCCGG